ensembl:lncRNA
CUACCAAUUACAUCUACAGAACAAGAGCUUGUAUAGGGAAUAAUGUAAUAUAUAAAGCAAGGGGAAAUAGCUCCUACUCUUGCUUUCCUUGUGGCAAAGCACUUUAAAAGAUGAAAGUGUAGUGAGGCAUUCUGGAAUAGAUUGUAAAAGCAAAUAUACAAAUAAUAAUUCUGAAGAUGAAAUAAAACUAAAGUUAGUGGCAGAUAGAUACUGACCUGUCUACAAUACAAGCUGAAAAAAAGAUUACACUUACGAGAGGUAGUCCUUUGGGCAUGGCAUAAAGUGUGAGCACUUCACUGCUUUACUUUAAAACAGCUAAUAUUCCUGAGAAGAACAAACAGUCCCUGGGUUCCUCCCUUUUUCUUCCAGCUAGUUAUACUGCAUUUGCCAUUUACCAUUUAUCAGCCAUUUUGAUGUUACUUUUUAGCAUCAACAUCCAGGUUCUCUUAAAAUAGUUAGUAGGGAAGCUGAAAGUAGCACUUAGAACAGGUCAGUUGGAAGGGACCUGCAAAGAUCAUCUACUCCAGCCAUCUAGUUUGACCACUGCAGGGAGCAGUGAGGUCUCUCUCAGCCUCUCAGCCUUCUCCAGGCUGGGCAACCUGAAUGUUCUCAGCCUCUCCUCCAGCCUUGUUGCCAGUUGUCUUGCCUCCAGUGGAUGCUUUCAAGUAUCUUUAUAUCCUUUUUGUGUUACGCAGCUCAGAACUACACACAGUAUUCAAGGCAAGGCUGCUCCAACACUGACUGUAGUUGGAGAGUCACCUCUUUUGACCACGUGGCCAUGCUGUGUUAAUGCACCCUAAGUGUGAUUUGCUCAAGCUGAGCCUGCUGGCACCGGCAACCCCAGGUCCCUUCCUGCUGAGCUGCUCCCCCAUCACUCAUCUUCCCUCUGUGCAUUUUCCUCGCUUGCUCCUUUGUCCUGCUCCAGUGUCUCUGGAUUCUUGAAUGCUCGCUUAGCUCUAAUGUGAAUAGAACCUUCAUGGGUCAUCUACUAACUGCACCUGAAGUACACUUGCUUACAAAAAGUUAUUGGGUUCCCAGGCAAUGUAGGAAAUGUAAGGUCUGUAUGCUUGAUGUCACCUCUUCCAACCAUUUCUUGACAAUCCUGCUUUCCUAGUACGCAUCAAAGAACAGCUUCCAUUUAAUUUGUGAUCUCCUUUAGAAGCUUUUCUUCUUAAUUAGCUGGUUGUUUGUCACUGAACAAAUAAUAAACCUGCUAAACAAGACUGACCACGAUGGUUCCUACCUAAAUAUAAGAUUGACAGGUGGUACCAGGUACCAUGUAAUUGGGCAGAGUAAUUCUGUGCCUGUCAAACUGGCGGUAUCUACUAAAAAGUACAAAAAAUGGGCUUCAAGGAGGUUACUGCAAGCUGCAAAACUUUGGGCCUCCAAUUGUAUGCAGCUAGAUACUACUUGAUGAAACCUGGCUCAUUCAGGAAAUGAUCUCGUGGAAAGGCUUGUCUUGCUAGAGAUGAAAAUAGAGGGAAAAGCCAGAAUAGAUGAAUAGUGAUGUACUCAGCUGUUUCCACCACUGGAGGAAUUACAUCCUUCCUGUCUGUUUUCUAAGUCUCCUUUCCUAGAUAGUAAUAGUGAAAUUAUAAUAGCCAGUGGUUUUUGGCUGACAACUGUCAGUUCACAUUUUUCUACAUCCACAAUAAGAUUUUUAGAGUUGACCAAGAGUGCUUUACAGGGAACUUAGUUUAAUUUUGAGCUUGUCCAUUCUCACAGGACUCUGAAACUCUAAAACAAGCCACAAAAUUGCAGAAAGAACAUCUAUCUUAUUUGGCCAAGCAAAGAGGAACACAAUCACAAGUGACAGCUGUGGUGUGUUUUAAUGGAUGCUUAUCUGCAAACCUUUAGCAGUCUUAAAAGAAAGGAGAAGCAACAAAAUAAGCUUCCCCCUAAUAGCAAAUUCGAAGAGCAACAGUCACAACAGGACUUCAAACACUUUCAAACUACGCAGACUGUACAACCCUUUUCCCAGACCUGGAGGACUGGUUUUGCCUCUAAAGUAAGCUUCUAAUCUCUCCCUUUUAGAGUAGUAGCUGCCAACCCCAGUCUUGCACCAUGGUAAUCUCAGCACCUGACCAUUGGAAAGAUGGCUGCUUCCUCACUGACGUAGCAAUGCUACUAGAUAGUUCUAGGCUUUCUUGGUGUUUCUUGGUUGACCUACUAUGUUGUACAGGAAUGAAGUACUGCAAUGUAACAUACUCCUUACAAAAAAAAAAAAAAAAAAAAAAGCUAAGAAAGAUGGAAGAACCAGAAUUUAAAAGUGGUACAAGUUUUAGAAUCCGUGAACCCUUCAUUUCCCUUACAAUUAGUUUACCCAGACUGAGAAAGUAACUAGCUGAGUUGCGUAACUACAGGAUACAAAAGCAGACUUUAAUUUGGUUCCUGUAUGCAAACAGAAAAUCCAAAAUAGUAGGGCUUUUUAUUCACUUCCUGUACCUGUAGUAAUCCAGUUUGCAGUGAUACAAAGAACACAUCUCUGAGUCUGCUGCUUAUACCAGAACAGAAGCUUUUCACUUUAAGUAUGACGUGAAUUUCCCUUCACAUCUUUCACAGAUUUAGCAGACUGUGGCUUAUUCCCCAGCCACCAGUUGGCCCACCAGUAAAGACACGUGGAACUUACAUAAGAAAAAGUGUAUAUUUCUGCGGAAGUCUAGUAAAACAUUUAGAAAUAUAAGUUUAUGCUGUGGUUUAACCCAGCAGACAGGGAAGUACCAUACAGCUUUCUGCUCGUUCCACCCCACUAGGAUGAAUAUUUAAAUGUUAUAAACUCAUGAAUUCAAUGAAAAAAAAAAAAAGUCUGAUUUCUUUGCAGAAAGUUCUUUAAUUGAUACUUGUCCCUAGCUUAUGACUGAAAGUUAACUGCGUAGCACAUUGCUCCAAAACCUGAUCUCAAUUCCAGAUGCAAAUCUCUACGCAAUACUGUGAAGCUGCCCCAUCCAAAGUAUCUUCAGGGCACUAAGGGUAGGCACUUCUGGAUCCUUCUUGGACAUGUCUCCAGUUGUGUAGCAGUAGGUCAGACAAACGAGAUUCCUGGAGAAAAAAAAAAAAUACGGAUGCUGUGUUAGCUUCACCAUGUCAUUUUUUUUCUCCUGUCCCCAGGACAUUGUCAAGAUUUUGAAGCAGACAUCAGAUUUGUUGUUUUCUUUCAUCCUUCUCAAAACCACUUGGAAGGAUACUUUCUGGAGAAAAAGGCAUUAUGCCAGACUGAUGCCGAAGGGUGGAAAAAGUCCAGUGUAUAAAUUUGACACAAGGGAAAAAAAAAAGAGCAUUUGGAAGGCAACGAUCAGUUUCAAUGAGAUGUAUCCAACAGUCUGAUUGCUGUAGAUGAAAAUGAGGUUGUGCGCUUUCACACUGCAGAAUGGUGGAGGUUGGAAGGUGAUUCUGGAGCUCUUCUGCUCAAGCAGGGACACUCAGAGCAGGGUGCCCAGGACCACAUCCGGGUGGCUUUUGAAGACAUUUAUUCUGGAUUUGGCUGGGGUCAGAGUUCAUUUUCUUCAUAGUGCCUGGUGCUCUGUUGUUCCUGUGUUUCAGCUCUGGGAGAAAGACAGCCGGCCAGCAGUACGGCCACAGUGGGAAGCGCACUGCAGAGCAAGAUGAGAUUAGCGCUGGAUCUGACAGGGCAUCAGUACUCGCUGCUAAGAGUUGACUUCCCAUCCUUGCUAUUCUCAGUCAAGUAUCAGUGUUUCUGCAGUAACGUCACAAUGUCCUGUAACAGAUCCAGUUCUGAACAGAGGCUUCCUCCCGUUGAAAUUCCUGUACUGCUGUAAACACAAGCGUAUAUAGUUGAGGACAGGGCUGCACAACCCAGCAAAUCACGAGACACGUAAUGCUUACGACCGCAGCAUAAACCUCAGGAAUAAAACACACUCAAACUAUCGGUGGAGUGAAAUAGCAUUCUCAGCAAACACAGCCUAAACGAUGGCGCCAAAGCUAUCUCCCCGUGCAGCUGUGCCAGCACGCCGGCCCUCCACCGUCGAGCAGCGCGGAGGGGCAGCCCCGCGCACCCCACCCGCACAGGUG